rnacentral:rRNA from 1 species
UGCAGAAUCCCGUGAACCAUCGAGUCUUUGAACGCAAGUUGCGCCCGAGGCUAUCCGGCCGAGGGCACGCCUGCCUGGGCGUCAUGC